ACAUUACAAAUGUAACUUCUUAGGGUGAUGAAAUACAACUUUUGUCUGAAGCAGCCGCACGCGCACAGAGUGAAGCGGGAAGCUUGUCUGGAGUCUCUCUCGAGCUGCAUUUCAAACAGUAAAGAAGCAACGGCUUUUAUUUCAUUUGGCUUUUUGUUCUCUUUAACUACACUGAAUUUACCUCAGUUGUUGGUUAUUUAUUAUAUUAUUAUUCUAGAAACUGGAAGCGAGCGCUGACGAGACCAAGGAUGAAAAAGGAUGAAAAAGGAUUCGAGUCACUCGAGCGGUGCCGCUGCAGCCCAAAGCUAAGGUGGACAGCUGAGAUUGAACAAGUCCUGAUUCCCUUUGUUUCUCAUUGAAACAGACGGCUGUUAGUAACUGGUUCGAGUCAUCAACAAAGGGUGAUGCAACAAGAAGCACAGAAGG